rnacentral:rRNA from 1 species
AUUGAACGCUGGCGGCAUGCCUUACACAUGCAAGUCGAACGGUAACGGGCCUUCGGGUGCCGACGAGUGGCGAACGGGUGAGUAAUGCAUCGGAACGUACCUUUCAGUGGGGGAUAACGUAGCGAAAGUUACGCUAAUACCGCAUAUUCUGUGAGCAGGAAAGCAGGGGAUCGCAAGACCUUGCGCUGAUUGAGCGGCCGAUGUCAGAUUAGCUAGUUGGUGAGGUAAAGGCUCACCAAGGCGACGGUCUGUAGCGGGUCUGAGAGGAUGAUCCGCCACACUGGAACUGAGACACGGUCCAGACUCCUACGGGAGGCAGCAGUGGGGAAUUUUGGACAAUGGGGGCAACCCUGAUCCGGCCAUGCCGCGUGCGGAAGAAGGCCUGGUUGUAACGCUUAGUCCGGAAAAGGGUAGGCGAGGAGUAAUAACCU